rnacentral:rRNA from 1 species
CUCCGGUUGAUCCUGCCGGACCUGACUGCUAUCGGAUUGGUACUAAGCCAUGCGAGUCAUUGUAGCAAUACAAGGCGGACGGCUCAGUAACACGUAGUCAACCUAACUCGUGGACGUGGAUAACCUCGGGAAACUGAGAAUAAACCACGAUAGAUCAUAGUGCCUGGAAUGGCUUAUGGUCCAAACAGUUUACUGCCAUGGGAUGGGACUGCGGCCUAUCAGCUUGUUGGUGAGGUAAUGGCCCACCAAGGCGAUUACAGGUACGGGCUCUGAGAGGAGAAGCCCGGAGAUGGGUACUGAGACACGGACCCAGGCCCUAUGGGGCGCAGCAGGCGAGAAACCUUAGCAAUGUGCGAAAGCACGACUGGGUCAGUCCGAGUGAUUCCUGAUAAAGGAGUCUUUUGCUUGUCCUAAAAGCACAGGUGAAUAAGGGGUGGGCAAGUCUGGUGUCAGCCGCCGCGGUAAUACCAGCACCUCGAGUGGUCAGGACGUUUAUUGGGCCUAAAGCAUCCGUAGCCGGCUCUGCAAGUCUUCGGUUAAAUCCACCUGCUCAACAGAUGGGCUGCUGGAGAUACUACAGAGCUAGGGAGUGGGAGAGGCAGACGGUAUUCAGUGGGUAGGGGUAAAAUCCUCUGAUCCAUUGAGGACCACCAGUGGCGAAGGCGGUCUGCCAGAACACGUUCGACGGUGAGGGAUGAAAGCUGGGGGAGCAAACCGGAUUAGAUACCCGGGUAGUCCCAGCUGUAAACGAUGCAGACUCGGUGAUGGGCUAGCCUUGUGCCAGCCCAGUGCCGCAGGGAAGCCGUUAAGUCUGCCGCCUGGGGAGUACGGUCGCAAGACUGAAACUUAAAGGNAAUUGGGGGGGGAGCA